GGGCCGCUAGCUCAGUCGGUAGAGCAACGCCCUUUUAAGGCGUGGGUCACAGGUUCGAACCCUGUGCGGCUCA
rnacentral:tRNA from 1 species